rnacentral:rRNA from 1 species
UACGUAGGGUGCAAGCGUUGUCCGGAAUUAUUGGGCGUAAAGGGCUCGUAGGCGGUCCAUCGCGUCGGGAGUGAAAAGCUGGGGCUUAACCCCAGUCCUGCUUUCGAUACGGGUGGACUAGAGGUAGGCAGGGGAGAAUGGAAUUCCUGGUGUAGCGGUGAAAUGCGCAGAUAUCAGGAGGAACACCGAUGGCGAAGGCAGGUCUCUGGGCCACUACUGACGCUGAGAAGCGAAAGCAUGGGGAGCGAACAGG